rnacentral:rRNA from 1 species
GACGAACGCUGGCGGCGUGCUUAACACAUGCAAGUCGAACGGAAAGGCCCUGCUUUUGUGGGGUGCUCGAGUGGCGAACGGGUGAGUAACACGUGAGUAACCUGCCCUUGACUUUGGGAUAACUUCAGGAAACUGGGGCUAAUACCGGAUAGGAGCUCCUGCUGCAUGGUGGGGUUGGAAAGUUUCGGCGGUUGGGGAUGGACUCGCGGCUUAUCAGCUUGUUGGUGGGGUAGUGGCUUACCAAGGCUUUGACGGGUAGCCGGCCUGAGAGGGUGACCGGCCACAUUGGGACUGGGAUACGGCCCAGACUCCUACGGGAGGCAGCAGUGGGGAAUAUUGCACAAUGGGCGGAAGCCUGAUGCAGCAACGCCGCGUGCGGGAUGACGGCCUUCGGGUUGUAAACCGCUUUCGCCUGUGACGAAGCGUGAGUGACGGUAAUGGGUAAAGAAGCACCGGCUAACUACGUG